AGUGAACGCUGGCGGUAGGCCUAACACAUGCAAGUCGAACGGCAGCACAGUAAGAGCUUGCUCUUACGGGUGGCGAGUGGCGGACGGGUGAGGAAUACAUCGGAAUCUACUUUUUCGUGGGGGAUAACGUAGGGAAACUUACGCUAAUACCGCAUACGACCUACGGGUGAAAGCAGGGGAUCUUCGGACCUUGCGCGAUUGAAUGAGCCGAUGUCGGAUUAGCUAGUUGGCGGGGUAAAGGCCCACCAAGGCGACGAUCCGUAGCUGGUCUGAGAGGAUGAUCGGCCGCACUGGAGCGGGAACACGGUCAAGGCUCCUGCGGGAGGCAGCAGUGUGGAAUAUUGGACAAUGGGGGCAAGCCUGAUCCAGCCAUACCGCGUGGGUGGAGAAGGCGUUCGGGUUGUAAAGCCCUUUUGUUGGGAAAGAAAAGCAGCAGGUUAAUACCCCGCUGUUCUGACGGUACCCAAAGAAUAAGCACCGGCUAACUUCGUG
rnacentral:rRNA from 1 species